rnacentral:RNase_P_RNA from 1 species
GGUUGAUGGCAGACGAUCGCUGGUGAGUCGAGAGGCUCGCCAGAGGAAAGUCCGAACACCAUACGGCAGCAUGCCGCGUAGAAAACGCGGGCGCGACGGUUGCAAAACUGCGGCGACGGAAAGUGUCACAGAAAAGAUACCGCCGGUUCUUUGAGAAAAGUGCAGGCAAGGGUGAAAAGGCGAGGUAAGAGCUCACCGCGUGCGAAGUAAUUCGCGCGGCAGGAAAAACCCCAUGCGGUGCAAGACAAAACAGGAGGAGGACAGCCGGUCCGUUGAUCUCCGGGUAUCGUCGCACCACGUUGCGCGCAAGCGUAGCGGGCGAUUCAUGGAAGUGAGUUGAGAUAAAUGAUCGUCCCGGCUGAGAAAUCAACCGGACAGAAUUCGGCUUACCGCCAUCAAAUUAUG